rnacentral:misc_RNA from 1 species
GAUGAAGAACGCAGCGAAAUGCGAUAAGUAAUGUGAAUUGCAGAAUUCAGUGAAUCAUCGAAUCUUUGAACGCACAUUGCGCCCAUUAGUAUUCUAGUGGGCAUGCCUGUUCGAGCGUCAUUUCAACCCUUAAGCCUAGCUUAGUAUUGGGAAUCGACUUUACUGUCGUUCCUCAAAUUCAACGGCGGAUUUAUAGCAAUCUCUGAACGUAGUAAUUUUUUUCCUCGUUUUUGAAAUACUAUAAACCUCAGUCGCUAAACCCCCAAUUUUUUUAUGGUUGACCUCGGAUCAGGUAGGAAUACCCGCUGAACUUAAGCAUAUCAAUAAGCGGAGGA